UUUUUUUUGUUCUCUUCGUUUUUGCCUCAGCUCUGUGUUCUUGGGAGAGAGUUACAGAGAAUAAGUUCUGCAUGUUGUGAUCGUGUAUGUUUUCCUUCGAUUUAGUGUUUGUUUGUUCCUUGCAUGUGACUGAUUUGGGGUUUCGGUGAUGCAGGAGUUUAUGGGUUUGUUGUUAGCAACGAGAGGGAAGACGAAGUUUGGAAUUAGAUUGAGGAAAGCAGAAGAGUACUUUCUUUGGCGAUUUUGUUUUGUUGGCGAUUUCGGGUUUGGUGGAAGCUCAGGUCAAAAAGGUGUUGGGUUAUUGACGCGAUCUUCUCUCUCUCUUUUUCUCUUCGUUUUUGGCUGGGCUCUUCGCAUCUGGAGGUGGAGGGUGAUUUUGGAAGAAAUGGAAGAGAAAUUCACAGCUAAAGACUAAGGGAUGGGUUGCAUCGUUCUUUUUUUGUGGAGAAAUAUAUUUGUUGGAGGCUUUACAGAGAAUACGACCUUGGGUUUCACCUUCUAUUAUUAUUGUUGCUGCAACUGAUUUAUCUGUUGUAAAACUGGUCUGCAAGGUCUGAAGAAAAGGAAAGGCUUGGAUCUGCCAAUCAAGUGCAGGACAAACUUUCUUGAGUGAUCUUCAUAGCUCAAGCUUCUUCUUUUUUCAUGUGGUACGGUGGGACAUUUUGAUUGCUUGCUCCAAUGGAUACUGGAAUUACAGGCAUCAGGGGUGGAUUUUUUUUCCUGAUUCUAGGUUCUUCCUGAAGAAGAUUAUGUAAUUCCAACACAGAUUACAUUCCGGAUAUCUUCAGACAAAAAAAUCACUCUUUUGAACUUUUCCUCAAUCACUAUUAUUGAAGUGAGAAGCAGUGCAUGAUUGUCGAUUUGUACGGGAAUUCAGUCAACUGAUCCUCCCAGGAAGUGAAUGGAAAAAAAUUCACUGAAUGGAUUUAUUUAGAAAAACACGGUGACGUAUACGAGAGAACUUUGGACGCUUCUUCUCAGUGCGUAAAACAAUGCCAGUAGUGUCCCUCAAUAGUUCUUGGAUGCCAAACAAGAAGCAUGAAAAAAGAAGUGACAGAGAAGCCAGUAUUGAAUCAGCAACAUCAUCAACA